rnacentral:rRNA from 1 species
AUUGAACGCUGGCGGCAGGCCUAACACAUGCAAGUCGAACGAGUGGCGGACGGGUGAGUAAUGUCUGGGAAACUGCCUGAUGGAGGGGGAUAACUACUGGAAACGGUAGCUAAUACCGCAUACCAUCAGAUGUACCCAGAUGGGAUUAGCUUGUUGGUGGGGUAACGGCUCACCAAGGCGACGAUCCCUAGCUGGUCUGAGAGGAUGACCGGCCACACUGAACCUGAGACCAGGUCCAACCUCCGACGGGCGGCAGCGGUGGGGAAUAUGUCCAAAUGGGGGCAAGCCUGAUGCAGCCAUGCCGCGUGAAUGAAGAAGGCCUUCGGUUUGUAAAGUACUUUCAGCGGGGAGGCGUUACCCGCAGAAGAAGCACCGGCUAACUCCGUGCCAGCGGCCGGGGUAAUAC